CAGGCCAGCACCACCUAAAGAGCAAGAGUUGACCAUCCAGAAGUUCAAUACACAAGUACCAAUUAAUAAGGUUACAGAAUGGCCGCCAGAUGUGUUAAAAAUUUGUUCAUACAUAUGAACAUGGACGAUUACUUGACACAUGAAUGCAUCUUGUCGCACCAUGCCUCUCCUACUCGCUCGCAGGCGCCCCCGGACCAGUUCAUCAUGAAUCGCCAAAGGACAGGGGUCCGGCAC